GGCGUGGAAGAGGUAAAGAGAGGUAGAGGCGUGGAAGAGGUAAAGAGAGGUAGAGGCGUGGAAGAGGUAGAGGCGCGGAAGAGGUAGAGGCGUGGAAGAGGUAAAGAGAGGUAGAGGGGUGGAAGAGGUAGAGGCGUGGAAGAGGUAGAGGCGUGGAAGAGGUAAAGAGAGGUAGAGGCGUGGAAGAGGUAAAGAGAGGUAGAGGCGUGGAAGAGGUAAAGAGAGGUAGAGGCGUGGAAGAGGUAGAGGCGUGGAAGAGGUAAAGAGAGGUAGAGGCGUGGAAGAGGUAAAGAGAGGUAGAGGCGUGGAAGAGGUAAAGAGAGGUAGAGGC